CCUACGGGUGGCAGCAGUAGGGAAUCUUCGACAAUGGACGAAAGUCUGAUGGAGCAACGCCGCGUGGGUGAAGAAGGUCUUCGGAUCGUAAAACUCUGUUGUUAGAGAAGAAAACGCGUGAGAGUAACUGUUCAUGUUUCGACGGUAUCUAACCAGAAAGCCACGGCUAACUACGUGCCAGCAGCCGCGGUAAUGCGUAGGUGGGAAGCGUUAUCCGGAUUUAUUGGGCGUAAAGGGAACGCAGGCGGUCUUUUAAGUCUGAUGUGAAAGCCUGCGGCUCAACCGGAGUAGUGCAUUGGAUACUGGGAGACUUGAGUGCAGAAGAGGAGAGUGGAAUUCCAGGUGUAGCGGUGAAAUGCGUAGAUAUAUGGAAGAACACCAGUGGCGAAGGCGGCUCUCUGGUCUGUAACUGACGCUGAGGCUCGAAAGCGUGGGUAGCAAACAGGAUUAGAUACCCGAGUAGUC
rnacentral:rRNA from 1 species